AAACUGGCUUAUAGACACUGCGCCAUCUGAAAUUAUUAUUCUGCUGUUUUCAUUUCUCACGCUGUAGGUAGAGAGCAGAGGUGCCUUGCAGAGCAUGAAGAUAUUUCCACAAAACCAAACACGGCUGCAGUCGGAAGACUGACGGAAGAGCGGCCACAUCCUCCGCUGUCGACAAGGGCGGCGGGGACGUCGGUUACGAAGCGGCGGGCUGUUCAUCAGCUCGGCGUGCCGCACGCGUCACUCACUUCCGUACGGCUCCGCGGAUGAUGUGACCUUGCUGGGAGCCCACAGAAAGAAAACACAAGACAAAAUUAACCGAACUGCAGGUGUGAAAACACCCGCAGACAUACGUAAAGAUGGACGACAUGACAGCUCCCCAAAAGUGGAGCCAAAAUAUCCGGAUUGCCCCCUGGUGGCUGGCUGCAGUAUAAACCCCGCCUCUUCCAUGAUUACGCAUAAACCAAUGAACGGAUUGCCACGAAAUUCGGUGGAAGGAUGGGACGUGGCCUCGGA